rnacentral:rRNA from 1 species
GGUGAACGCUGGCGGUAGGCCUAACACAUGCAAGUCGAACGGCAGCACAGUAAGAGCUUGCUCUUACGGGUGGCGAGUGGCGGACGGGUGAGGAAUACAUCGGAAUCUACUUUUUCGUGGGGGAUAACGUAGGGAAACUUACGCUAAUACCGCAUACGACCUACGGGUGAAAGCAGGGGAUCUUCGGACCUUGCGCGAUUGAAUGAGCCGAUGUCGGAUUAGCUAGUUGGCGGGGUAAAGGCCCACCAAGGCGACGAUCCGUAGCUGGUCUGAGAGGAUGACCAGCCACACUGGAACUGAGACACGGUCCAGACUCCUACUGGAGGCAGCAGUGGGGAAUAUUGGACAAUGGGCGCAAGCCUGAUCCAGCCAUACCGCGUGGGUGAAGAAGGCCUUCGGGUUGUAAAGCCCUUUUGUUGGGAAAGAAAAGCAGCAGGUUAAUACCCCGCUGUUCUGACGUUACCCAAAGAAUAAGCACCGGCUAACUUCGUG